UUAAGUUAUUAAGGGCGCACGGUGGAUGCCUUGGCACUAGAAGCCGAUGAAGGACGUUACUAACGACGAUAUGCUUUGGGGAGCUGUAAGUAAGCUUUGAUCCAGAGAUUUCCGAAUGGGGAAACCCAGCAUGAGUUAUGUCAUGUUAUCGAUAUGUGAAUACAUAGCAUAUCAGAAGGCACACCCGGAGAACUGAAACAUCUUAGUACCCGGAGGAAGAGAAAGAAAAUUCGAUUCCCUUAGUAGCGGCGAGCGAAACGGGAAGAGCCCAAACCAACAAGCUUGCUUGUUGGGGUUGUAGGACACUCUAUACGGAGUUACAAAGGACGACAUUAGACGAAUCAUCUGGAAAGAUGAAUCAAAGAAGGUAAUAAUCCUGUAGUCGAAAAUGUUGUCUCUCUUGAGUGGAUCCUGAGUACGACGGAGCACGUGAAAUUCCGUCGGAAUCUGGGAGGACCAUCUCCUAAGGCUAAAUACUCUCUAGUGACCGAUAGUGAACCAGUACCGUGAGGGAAAGGUGAAAAGCACCCCGGAAGGGGAGUGAAAUAGAACCUGAAACCGUGUGCUUACAAGUAGUCAGAGCCCGUUAAUGGGUGAUGGCGUGCCUUUUGUAGAAUGAACCGGCGAGUUACGAUUUGAUGCAAGGUUAAGCAGUAAAUGUGGAGCCGUAGCGAAAGCGAGUCUGAAUAGGGCGUUUAGUAUUUGGUCGUAGACCCGAAACCAGGUGAUCUACCCUUGGUCAGGUUGAAGUUCAGGUAACACUGAAUGGAGGACCGAACCGACUUACGUUGAAAAGUGAGCGGAUGAACUGAGGGUAGCGGAGAAAUUCCAAUCGAACCUGGAGAUAGCUGGUUCUCUCCGAAAUAGCUUUAGGGCUAGCCUCAAGUGAUGAUUAUUGGAGGUAGAGCACUGUUUGGACGAGGGGCCCCUCUCGGGUUACCGAAUUCAGACAAACUCCGAAUGCCAAUUAAUUUAACUUGGGAGUCAGAACAUGGGUGAUAAGGUCCGUGUUCGAAAGGGAAACAGCCCAGACCACCAGCUAAGGUCCCAAAAUAUAUGUUAAGUGGAAAAGGAUGUGGCGUUGCCCAGACAACUAGGAUGUUGGCUUAGAAGCAGCCAUCAUUUAAAGAGUGCGUAAUAGCUCACUAGUCGAGUGACACUGCGCCGAAAAUGUACCGGGGCUAAACAUAUUACCGAAGCUGUGGAUUGUCCUUUGGACAAUGGUAGGAGAGCGUUCUAAGGGCGUUGAAGCAUGAUCGUAAGGACAUGUGGAGCGCUUAGAAGUGAGAAUGCCGGUGUGAGUAGCGAAAGACGGGUGAGAAUCCCGUCCACCGAUUGACUAAGGUUUCCAGAGGAAGGCUCGUCCGCUCUGGGUUAGUCGGGUCCUAAGCUGAGGCCGACAGGCGUAGGCGAUGGAUAACAGGUUGAUAUUCCUGUACCACCUAUAAUCGUUUUAAUCGAUGGGGGGACGCAGUAGGAUAGGCGAAGCGUGCGAUUGGAUUGCACGUCUAAGCAGUAAGGCUGAGUAUUAGGCAAAUCCGGUACUCGUUAAGGCUGAGCUGUGAUGGGGAGAAGACAUUGUGUCUUCGAGUCGUUGAUUUCACACUGCCGAGAAAAGCCUCUAGAUAGAAAAUAGGUGCCCGUACCGCAAACCGACACAGGUAGUCAAGAUGAGAAUUCUAAGGUGAGCGAGCGAACUCUCGUUAAGGAACUCGGCAAAAUGACCCCGUAACUUCGGGAGAAGGGGUGCUCUUUAGGGUUAACGCCCAGAAGAGCCGCAGUGAAUAGGCCCAAGCGACUGUUUAUCAAAAACACAGGUCUCUGCUAAACCGUAAGGUGAUGUAUAGGGGCUGACGCCUGCCCGGUGCUGGAAGGUUAAGAGGAGUGGUUAGCUUCUGCGAAGCUACGAAUCGAAGCCCCAGUAAACGGCGGCCGUAACUAUAACGGUCCUAAGGUAGCGAAAUUCCUUGUCGGGUAAGUUCCGACCCGCACGAAAGGCGUAACGAUUUGGGCACUGUCUCAACGAGAGACUCGGUGAAAUCAUAGUACCUGUGAAGAUGCAGGUUACCCGCGACAGGACGGAAAGACCCCGUGGAGCUUUACUGUAGCCUGAUAUUGAAAUUCGGCACAGCUUGUACAGGAUAGGUAGGAGCCUUUGAAACGUGAGCGCUAGCUUACGUGGAGGCGCUGGUGGGAUACUACCCUAGCUGUGUUGGCUUUCUAACCCGCACCACUCAUCGUGGUGGGAGACAGUGUCAGGCGGGCAGUUUGACUGGGGCGGUCGCCUCCUAAAAGGUAACGGAGGCGCUCAAAGGUUCCCUCAGAAUGGUUGGAAAUCAUUCAUAGAGUGUAAAGGCAUAAGGGAGCUUGACUGCGAGACCUACAAGUCGAGCAGGGUCGAAAGACGGACUUAGUGAUCCGGUGGUUCCGCAUGGAAGGGCCAUCGCUCAACGGAUAAAAGCUACCCCGGGGAUAACAGGCUUAUCUCCCCCAAGAGUUCACAUCGACGGGGAGGUUUGGCACCUCGAUGUCGGCUCAUCGCAUCCUGGGGCUGUAGUCGGUCCCAAGGGUUGGGCUGUUCGCCCAUUAAAGCGGUACGCGAGCUGGGUUCAGAACGUCGUGAGACAGUUCGGUCCCUAUCCGUCGUGGGCGUAGGAAAUUUGAGAGGAGCUGUCCUUAGUACGAGAGGACCGGGAUGGACAUACCUCUGGUGUACCAGUUGUCGUGCCAACGGCAUAGCUGGGUAGCUAUGUGUGGACGGGAUAAGUGCUGAAAGCAUCUAAGCAUGAAGCCCCCCUCAAGAUGAGAUUUCCCAACUUCGGUUAUAAGAUCCCUCAAAGAUGAUGAGGUUAAUAGGUUCGAGGUGGAAGCAUGGUGACAUGUGGAGCUGACGAAUACUAAUCGAUCGAAGACUUAAUCAA
rnacentral:rRNA from 1 species